rnacentral:lncRNA from 1 species
GGCUGUCAAAAUGCACAAUGGGGAGAAACCUGGGACAAGAAGAAUGUAAAAAGGACUAUUUCUGGCCUGAAUAGAAGUUGCAGGUUUACACUGAGGCUUAGCUCUUCUAGAUUUUUUUAUUGCUGUGGAAAAACUGAAGUGCUAAAACCUUGUGUGUGUGGCUACAGGACAUCAGGAUAAAUCAGCAGAUAACAGGUCACACGGAAAGCGACUGUGCAGAGCUGCCUGACAGGGCAGGUGCAGAGAGCAACGGAGAGGGAGUGUUUCAGCCCAGCAGCUAACCGGCCUCACUGCGUCUCCGCCGAAGCAGUAAGUGAACAUGGAGGAGGGAAGGUGACAAACACAGUGUCACGGCACAACUGGCUGCAGAGGUGGGUGGCAAUGGCAUAAAACUGCAGCUUGUGCUACCUCGGGGAAGGAAUGUUCCUCGUCAUUUCAAGGGGCUCAGUCGUACGGGACACAGCGCACCUCCUCCGGGCUGCUCAGCCUUCAACAUAACAGGAAGCUGCGGGCAGGACUGAGAGUCCUUUUGGGCUUGCUCCUGAGCGAAAUGCAAACGUGUACGGCAUGA